UACGUAGGGUGCAAGCGUUAAUCGGAAUUACUGGGCGUAAAGCGUGCGCAGGCGGUUUGGUAAGACAGAUGUGAAAUCCCCGGGCUUAACCUGGGAAUUGCAUUUGUGACUGCCCGGCUAGAGUGUGUCAGAGGGGGGUAGAAUUCCACGUGUAGCAGUGAAAUGCGUAGAGAUGUGGAGGAAUACCGAUGGCGAAGGCAGCCCCCUGGGAUAACACUGACGCUCAUGCACGAAGCGUGGGGAGCAAACAGG
rnacentral:rRNA from 1 species